rnacentral:rRNA from 1 species
UACGAAGGGGGCUAGCGUUGCUCGGAAUGACUGGGCGUAAAGGGCGCGUAGGCGGCUCAUACAGUCAGAUGUGAAAUUCCUGGGCUUAACCUGGGGGCUGCAUUUGAUACGUGUGGGCUUGAGUGGGGAAGAGGGUCGUGGAAUUCCCGGUGUAGCGGUGAAAUGCGCAGAUAUCGGGAAGAACACCCGUGGCUAAGGCGGCUCUCUAGUACGGUACUGACGCUGAGACGCGAAAGCGUGGGGAGCGAACAGG